AUUGAACGCUGGCGGCAUGCUUUACACAUGCAAGUCGAACGGUAACAGGCCGCAAGGUGCUGACGAGUGGCGAACGGGUGAGUAAUGCAUCGGAACGUGCCCAGUCGUGGGGGAUAACGCAGCGAAAGCUGCGCUAAUACCGCAUACGAUCUAUGGAUGAAAGCGGGGGACCGUAAGGCCUCGCGCGAUUGGAGCGGCCGAUGUCAGAUUAGGUAGUUGGUGGGGUAAAGGCUCACCAAGCCGACGAUCUGUAGCUGGUCUGAGAGGACGACCAGCCACACUGGGACUGAGACACGGCCCAGACUCCUACGGGAGGCAGCAGUGGGGAAUUUUGGACAAUGGGCGCAGGCCUGAUCCAGCAAUGCCGCGUGCAGGAAGAAGGCCUUCGGGUUGUAAACUGCUUUUGUACGGAACGAAACGGUCCUGGUUAAUACCUGGGGCUAAUGACGGUACCGUAAGAAUAAGCACCGGCUAACUACGUGCCAGCCGCCGCGGUAACAC
rnacentral:rRNA from 1 species